rnacentral:tRNA from 1 species
UGCAUCGGCGGGAAUCGAAUCCGGGCCGCCCGCGUGGCAGGCGAGCAUUCUACCACUGAACCACAGAAGC